rnacentral:rRNA from 1 species
AAGCGGAGGAAAAGAAACCAACAGGGAUUGCCUCAGUAACGGCGAGUGAAGCGGCAAAAGCUCAAAUUUGAAAUCUAGCACCUUCGGUGUUCGAGUUGUAAUUUGAAGAUGGCAACCUUGGGUUUGGCUCUUGUCUAUGUUCCUUGGAACAGGACGUCAUAGAGGGUGAGAAUCCCGUCUGAUGAGAUGCCCAUUCCUUUGUAAGGUGCUAUCGAAGAGUCGAGUUGUUUGGGAAUGCAGCUCUAAGUGGGUGGUAAAUUCCAUCUAAAGCUAAAUAUUGGCGAGAGACCGAUAGCGAACAAGUACAGUGAUGGAAAGAUGAAAAGAACUUUGAAAAGAGAGUGAAAAAGUACGUGAAAUUGUUGAAAGGGAAGGGCAUUAGAUCAGACUUGGUGUUUUAUGAUUAUCUUCUCUUCUUGAGUUGUGCACUCGUAUUUCACUGGGCCAGCAUCGAUUCGGAUGGCAAGAUAAUGACAGUUGAAUGUGGCUUCAUUCGUGGAGUGUUAUAGCUUCUGUUGAUAUUGCCUGUCUGGAUCGAGGGCUGCGUCUUUGACUAGGAUGCUGGCGUAAUGAUCUAAUGCCGCCCGUCUUGA